rnacentral:rRNA from 1 species
GCUAAUCUGCGAUAAGCGUCGGUAAGGUGAUAUGAACCGUUAUAACCGGCGAUUUCCGAAUGGGGAAACCCAGUGUGAUUCGUCACACUAUCAUUAACUGAAUCCAUAGGUUAAUGAGGCGAACCGGGGGAACUGAAACAUCUAAGUACCCCGAGGAAAAGAAAUCAACCGAGAUUCCCCCAGUAGCGGCGAGCGAACGGGGAGGAGCCCAGAGCCUGAAUCAGUGUGUGUGUUAGUGGAAGCGUCUGGAAAGGCACGCGAUACAGGGUGACAGCCCCGUACACAAAAAUGCACAUGCUGUGAGCUCGAUGAGUAGGGCGGGACACGUGGUAUCCUGUCUGAAUAUGGGGGGACCAUCCUCCAAGGCUAAAUACU